AAACCAACCGGGAUUGCCUCAGUAACGGCGAGUGAAGCGGCAACAGCUCAAAUUUGAAAGCCCGCGGGCGUUGUAAUUUGCAGGCGGAUGUUUUGGGGCGGGCGCUGUCUACGUUCCUUGGAACAGGACGCCGCAGAGGGUGAGAGCCCCGUGCGAUGGCGCCUUUAACCGCGUAAAACUCCGCCGACGAGUCGAGUUGUUUGGGAAUGCAGCUCCAAGUGGGUGGUAAAUUCCAUCUAAAGCUAAAUACUGGCGAGAGACCGAUAGCGAACAAGUACAGUGAUGGAAAGAUGAAAAGCACUUUGAAAAGAGAGUGAAACAGCACGUGAAAUUGUUGAAAGGGAAGGGUAUGCGAUUAGCGGCCAGCAGGAGGUGCGUUCUCGCGAAAAGGCCGUGCACCGUCUUCGGACCACCGUGCGCGGAGAUGGCGAGGGGGCGCCUGAGGUCUGCGACUCGAGGUUGCUGGCGUAAUGAUUGCAUACCAC
rnacentral:rRNA from 1 species